CUCAAUACACCUAUAUAUCUACCAAAAAAAACUCUUUCUGAAUAUCUCUCUCUCUCAGACACACAGUAUACACACACGCACACCACAUUCUCUCUGCACUCCGUCGUUCACCAAUGCCGCCUUCAACCACCGCCGUCCCCGCCGUAAGUAAUGAUGUGGACCCUACAGUCUGGAAAGCAAUCGCCGGCAACUCUGUCGAAAUCCCAACCGUCGGUACCAGGGUUUACUACUUCCCGCAAGGACACGCCGAACACGCCAACUGUGGGUCCCCUAUUUUCCUCUCCUCUCUUAUCCCUCCGUUUAUUCUCUGUCGCGUACUCUCCGUCCGUUUUCUCGCUGAUUCCGUUACCGACGAGGCUUAUGCUAAAAUUUUCCUGCUUCCGAUUAACCAGAGCGAGGAUAAUAACAACGUUGCUGUGAAUAUGAAUGGUGACGUGGAGGAUGCAGAAAACGAAGUCGUUUCAUUCGUUAAGAUUUUAACACCUUCGGAUGCGAACAAUGGGGGAGGUUUUUCUGUGCCACGGUUCUGCGCUGAUUCGAUAUUCCCUAGGCUCAAUUUCGUGGCUGAACCGCCGGUUCAGAAUUUGUCUAUUCGCGAUAUUCAUGGUUGUGUAUGGGAGUUUCGGCACAUUUAUCGUGGCACGCCUCGCCGGCAUUUGCUAACUACCGGCUGGAGCAAGUUCGUCAACAGUAAAAAGCUCGUCGCCGGUGAUUCCGCGGUUUUCGCACGGAAAACUAACACCGGAGAACUUUACGUCGGAGUCCGACGAGCCACACGAGGAAACGACAUUUGCGAGAGGUGGAAUUCUACUGUUUUGAGAAGUACUGAACAAACCAGUAGCGGCGGGGAAGUUCGUUGGAGGACUGGGCAGGGGCGUGUGGCGACGGAGGCGAUUGUGGAGGCAGCAGAAAUGGCAGCACGGGGAAUGGCGUUUGAGGUGUCGUGUUAUCCUCGGGCAGGCUGGGCAGAUUUUGUGGUGAGGGCAGAAGCGGUAGAGGCGUCGUCAACUGUGUUUUGGACCGUCGGUAUGAGGGUUAAGAUGGCUGUGGAGACGGAGGAUUCAUCUAGAACGGCUUGCUUUCAAGGGACUGUUUCAUCUGUCAAUUUGCCUCAAAGUGGCCCUUGGCGUGGUUCUCCAUGGCGAAUGCUUCAGAUCACUUGGGAUGAACCAGAAGUUCUUCAGUAUGCUAAGAGGGUGAAUCCUUGGCAAGUUGAGUGUAUUCUUCCAACCCCGCAGCUUCAUUCCGGAUUUCCUCCAUCAAAGAAGAUAAAACUGCCAAAUGGGUUGUUACCUGAUGGAGAGGAAAAAUUCUUCUUCCCUAUGACAGGGCUAAGUAAUCCUUUGAUUGGACUUUGUAGCCCAUCAUUGGGCAAUUAUACAUCUUUUCCUGCAGGCAUGCAGGGAGCCAGGCAAAAUCAAAUUUGUGUAUCAAGUUUAUCCAAUGUUAAAAGCAAUAACAACUUUGGGUUGGGCACUGACAAUAGCUUAGAUGAAGAAUUCAAGCCGAAGCUUGAGAGUGUAUCCACAAAGCUGAACAUUGGCAGUUCAUAUUCAGACAACUUCUCUCCGGAUAGUCAGAGCAGUGUACAUUUUUGGGACAAUGAGCUGGUUACAAAACCGGGUUCCAGCUCCUUGACAAAAGUUCGUAUCAAUUCUUUCCAGCUAUUUGGUAAGGUCAUCCAUGUUGAACCUGUUGAAGGAGGUUUUGAUGGUUUCGGCUGCUCUGAAAAUGAUAGCAUUGAAGUGUUUAAAGAGAUAGAUGGUGCAGUCAAGUCUAACAUUUCUCUGAGUAAACCUUAUAUCGAGCUGUUUGACAGUAUUGAUGUCCAACACCAAAGAGCCUCUGCUGUCGAAGCAUGUUCCUUAUGAGAUAGCUAUGAUCCGUAAUUACCAUCAAUCAGGAAAGCUGUACAGGGUCGGCAUAAUCAGCAGUUUGGGAUAUUCUGGUUACUGCUCAGAGGAGUGUAUCCAAGGAAGGAGCGGAUUCCAGCAGUGGUUCCAUUGUGGAUUUUUUCUUUCCCUUGGAGAUUCAGAACUAGUGCACGCUUGUCUUAUAUGUUAGAUGUCAAGUAAAUAUGUGUUUGCUUGAUAGUGAUGCCAGUGCAUGAGAUUGUAUUCUAUAUGUUCCUGUUAAUACGUGUCUUGAAAAAUAACCUAAUGUCCAGUUAGCCUUUUAGAUGCAAAGUUAGAAUUUUCUGUGGA